rnacentral:tRNA from 1 species
ACGACCUUAGCUCAGUUGGUUAGAGCGCUACCUACUCUUUAUGCCCCACGCCGACAUCGGUGGUUCGAAUCCACUCGGUCGUA